rnacentral:misc_RNA from 1 species
GCAAACUUGGUCAUUUAGAGGAAGUAAAAGUCGUAACAAGGUUUCCGUAGGUGAACCUGCGGAAGGAUCAUUUUUGAAUCUGGUCUCAGCGCUUAGUUGCGCGGGACUAAACCUUCACACUUGUUUAGUAUUACUACUGUCAGUCGGACGUGAGUCCGGCUGUAACAUAACUCUAAGAUUUAAUCUUAACUUAACACUAGUCAUGAAAUUUUACUUAAAAUAAAAUAUUCAAAACUUUCAACAACGGAUCUCUUGGCUCUCGCAUCGAUGAAGAACGCAGC